rnacentral:sRNA from 1 species
ACUGGGUGUGGUGGUGCACACCUGUAAUCCCAGUGACUCAGGAGGCUGAGGCAGGUGGAUUGCAAGUUUGAGGACAGCCCUAGCAAUUUAGCAAGGCCCUAAGCAAUUUAGCGAGACCUUGUCUUAA